AGUGAACGCUGGCGGUAGGCCUAACACAUGCAAGUCGAACGGCAGCACAGUAAGAGCUUGCUCUUACGGGUGGCGAGUGGCGGACGGGUGAGGAAUACAUCGGAAUCUACUUUUUCGUGGGGGAUAACGUAGGGAAACUUACGCUAAUACCGCAUACGACCUACGGGUGAAAGCAGGGGAUCUUCGGACCUUGCGCGAUUGAAUGAGCCGAUGUCGGAUUAGCUAGUUGGCGGGGUAAAGGCCCACCAAGGCGACGAUCCGUAGCUGGUCUGAGAGGAUGAUCAGCCUCACGGGAACUGAGACACGGUCCAGACUCCUACGGGAGGCAGCAGUGGGGAAUAGUGGACAAUGGGCGCAAGCCUGAUCCAGCCAUACCGCGUGGGUGAAGAAGGCCUUCGGGUUGUAAAGCCCUUUUGUUGGGAAAGAAAAGCAGCAGGUUAAUACCCCGCUGUUCUGACGGUACCCAAAGAAUAAGCACCGGCUAACUUCGUG
rnacentral:rRNA from 1 species